AGUGAACGCUGGCGGUAGGCCUAACACAUGCAAGUCGAACGGCAGCACAGUAAGAGCUUGCUCUUACGGGUGGCGAGUGGCGGACGGGUGAGGAAUACAUCGGAAUCUACUUUUUCGUGGGGGAUAACGUAGGGAAACUUACGCUAAUACCGCAUACGACCUACGGGUGAAAGCAGGGGAUCUUCGGACCUUGCGCGAUUGAAUGAGCCGAUGUCGGAUUAGCUAGUUGGCGGGGUAAAGGUCCACCAAGGCGACGAUCCGUAGCUGGUCUGAGAGGAGGAUCACACGCACUGGAUCUAAGACACGGUCCAGACUCCUACGGGAGGCAGCAGUCGGGAAUAUUGGACAAUGGGCGCAAGCCUGAUCCAGCCAUACCGCGUGCGUGAAGAAGGCCUUCGGGUUGUAAAGCCCUUUUGUUGGGAAAGAAAAGCAGCAGGUUAAUACCCCGCUGUUAUGACGGUACCCAAAGAAUAAGCACCGGCUAACUUCGUG
rnacentral:rRNA from 1 species